AAUUUUAUGUUAUUUAAUAUAAAACAACUUCUGCCCAAUGAUUUUUUUAAUGGCCGCAGUACCUUGACUGUGCUAAGGUAGCAUAAUAAAUUGGCUUUUAAAUGAGGUCUAGAAUGAAAGAAUGCAUGGAUAAAAAUUGUCUUAUUAAAAAUAUAUUAAAUUUGUUUUAUUAGGUGAAAAGCCCUAAAAAAAUAAGAAAGACGAGAAGACCCUUAGAAUUUGCUUUUUUUUGUUGGGGUGACAUAUUAACAUAGUUAACUUAUUUCUUUUCAAGAAGGAUAUAUCAAGUUAGAAAAAAUUACCUUAGGGAUAACAGCAUAAUUUUUAUUUUAGAUUAUGACCUCGAUGUUGGACUAGGAACCUAAUAAUUAGUAAUUAAAUUGGUUA
rnacentral:rRNA from 1 species